GUCCACGCCCUAACGAUGGAUACUCGACGUGUGCGAUAUGACUGUACGCGUCUGAGCGAAAGCAUUAAGUAUCCCACCUGGGAAGUACGACCGCAAGGUUGAAACUCAAAGGAAUUGGCGGGGUCCGCACAAGCGGUGGAGCAUGUGGUUUAAUUCGAUGAUACGCGAGGAACCUUACCUGGGCUAGAAUGCCAGUGGACCGUGGGUGAAAGCUCACUUUGUAGCAAUACACCGCUGGUAAGGUGCUGCAUGGCCGUCGU
rnacentral:rRNA from 1 species